rnacentral:rRNA from 1 species
AACGUAGGUACCGAGCGUUAUCCGGAUUUACUGGGCGUAAAGCGUGUUCAGGCGGCCUGGCAAGUCGGGCAUGAAAUCUCUCGGCUCAACCGGGAGAGGCUGUCCGAUACUGCUGGGCUUGAGGACGGUAGAGGGUGGUGGAAUUCCGCGUGUAGUGGUGAAAUGCGUAGAUAUCGUGAGGAACACCAGAGGCGAAGGCGGCUACCUGGACAAUUGCUGACGCUCAGGCACGAAAGCGUGGGGAGCAAAAGGG